GCCUGGCUGGCUCAGUCAGUAGAGCAUCAGACUCUUGAUCUCAGGGUUGUGGGUUCAAGCCCCACGUUGGGCG
rnacentral:tRNA from 1 species